GACGAACCGGGCGAACGUUAUUCGGAAUCACUGGGCUUAAAGGGCGCGUAGGCGGGCUGACAAGUCAGGGGUGAAAUCCCGCGGCUCAACCGCGGAAGUGCCUCUGAUACUGGCGGACUCGAGGGAGGUAGGGGCGUGCGGAACUUCCGGUGGAGCGGUGAAAUGCGUAGAUAUCGGAAGGAACACCGGUGGCGAAAGCGGCGCGCUGGACAUCUUCUGACGCUGAGGCGCGAAAGCCAGGGGAGCGAACGGG
rnacentral:rRNA from 1 species